rnacentral:lncRNA from 1 species
GUCGAGAAUAAUAAUAGUGAAUAUAAUAAUAUAUUAUAUAUAGCUUAAAAAACAAACAAAAAAAAAAUUUUUUUUUAAAAGAACUAUUACAAUAAUAUAAUAAUAUAUAUAUACAUACACACACAUAUAUAUAUAAUAUAUGUAUAUAUAUAUAUAUAUAUAUGGUAACAUCAAAGUGGCACAAGAUUACACAAACAUGGCUUUAUACACAAAAAUUUAUAGGUAUAGGUUUAGAAAAAAAAUCCAACGCAAAAUGAUAAUAUUGUACGUAGGAAGAUAGUAGUAUAAUAGUAUAAUAGUAAUAAUAAUAGGUUUAUGUAUAUAUGUAUACAUAUAUAUAUAUAUAAUAAUACUUUUUAUAAACAAAUCGUAUAUUAUUAAAUCUUAUAAAAUCAAUAUCGUAAUAUUACUGAAAACACAAGGAGCAGAGGGUAAGUGGUCACGCCAAUUCGGAGACUUUACCGAUUGAAUAAUAUUGUGUAUCAUUUUUUUUUUUUCUAUUGUAUGUAUAUCUAAUAUAUAAGCGGUUUAUAAACAUAAUAAUACUGCAUCACCACGUUUACACGGAAUCGUUAGUACGUCAAUCUAAUUCGUAUUUAGUUCAGCUUGCAUUUAAGCGCACUUUUGCUACACGUUUUUUAAUCGUAUCAACUCUAAGUCAAGUGUUAAGAAAUGCAUGUAAACGGUAAGCAGAUUAUAUUUUUGGUAAAAAUUGAAUAACAAAUUAUAUGUGAUACAUAAAAUUAUGUAUUAUUCAUUUAUAAUUUAUACGUUUUAUUUUACAUGCGUUUAAUCCUAAUAUUUGGCAUAUAUAUAUAUUAUAUAAUUUAUAAACCUGCACACGAAUUUGCAUUAACUAAGAUUAUUUACUGUGUAUUAUUAGCGACUAUAUAUAAACGUGGUAUGUGUAUAAUAACGGUAGUCCGAAGACGGGGCAUAAUUCGAAUUACAAGUAUUUUGGAUUUAACCGUAGACACCGACAGAAAUUAUGUUAUUGAGUAUUCUCGAAAGUCUCGUAAAUUAAUUUACUAUAGGUAUAACAUUAUUUUCAAGGGCGACCAAAAAGGGCGGGUCAAGGAGAUAAUGAUUCCUCCUCCUAGAUCAUAGACAAUGUAAAUUGAUAAUGUAUAGUUUAAAAUACUGUUAUUUUAAUUUUAAAUAAUACAAAAAAAGAAACGUGAAUAUGAUUAUUUUUAUAAUUUUGAUUUCUAGUGUAAAUUGGAGUUGUUCCCCUCUGUAUAUUUACUUUUAGAAAUGUCCUUGAUUAUUUUUCAUUUUUGUAGUAGUUGGGUCGUUAGUUUAAAGUCCUAAUCAUAAUGGCUUUUUACAAUUUGUUAACAUUUUACAAUCGAUACGUUUUAACGAUUCUAAACAAAAAUAGUUUAAUCAGUUUUAAUUUCCAUAUUAAUAAGGAGCCACCUUUUUUUUAGCACGCUUUACUGGAUAAAAUUCUUACGUCUCGUAGAGUUUUCGAUGGAAAAACAAGUCACGAUGCAGUUUAUCGAAUUUGUCCAACAGUAAGCUGUUUUUUGAGAUUUGUUUUUAAAAUUUUUGGUGCACCGAUAUAUUUAAUUAAAAAUGUAUCCUUUUGUUUGGUUAUUUGUUUCAGAUCUAAAUAGUAAGUAGUGCAAUUUAUAUUGUAUGCAGCAUUAAAAGUAAGUAACAACAGGACCUAUAGCAUUUUCUUAUAUUUUGCCGUGUCAUUAAAUCUAGCUGCAUCGCUGCAGACAUUUAUGUCAUGUUACGAGUUCAAAUAUGACUUCUGAAUGUGCUUUUUUAAAAAUAGUUUUUUCGAUAUUUUCUGCUUUGUGAUUACGUAAGCUAUUGAUAAAACCCGAAUCCCUCCCCCCGUUUAUGAUUUUUAAAUAAUUUUACCUUUGCAUUUUAUUUUGCAACUCUUUUUUUUUAUUUGUUUGUGUUAUCUUAUCUGUUUUUGUGUCGGUUGUCACUAAGCAUGAGGAAUUCAAAUACGCGAGUUCAGUAUGAAAGAGAUGGAAUAAUUCAAAUAUGAAAUUCGAAAAUACUGUUUUGCGUACUUCAAGUCCCCAUAAUAAUAAUAAUAAUAAUAAACAAAUGUUUUUACUAGUUUUUCAAAUAUUUUACAAGUGCUUGUUUCAUGGUGAUAAGUUUUCUAACACUUUUUUAAAGCGUUUAACCGCUAUAAGUUCCGAAUACUGUUAUUAAAUUAUAAUAAACGCACCUAUAUAUAUAAUAUUAUAAUGUACCAUAUGAGUGAAUCGAUCAGUCGUAUUUUGAGUCUUUAUUAAGUUAUAAUAUUAUAAUAGUUGAAAAUAAUAAUAAUAUAAUACAAGAGAUCACGUGAUUGAUGUACGGCUAGGUUAUGGCUAGGCUAUGCCUAACACGACGCAUGUACAUAAAAAAAAUGUAUAAUAUUGUUCGACGACUCGCAGUGAUAAAAAAAACUAUUAUAAAUAUGAAAUUAGUAUUUCUCGGUCACUCCAUUAACGAAACAUUGAAGUUAUUUUUAAGAAAAACGUGUAUUUAUAUUUUUUCUAAAACGAUUACCGUACAGAAACAAUAAAUCUCAAAACCAUAAUACUGUUCCUAUAAUAAUCAGUGAUAUUCAGGGGAGUUAUUGUUUUGAGAGCACAUGCAGUUGAAAAAAAUAUCCACCCAUAAACCCUUUAAUUUUUUUUAAAGGCUUUUUAAGCUUCGUCGUGACUUCAAUACACUAGUAAUCUACAUCCAUCCCUUUCCUUUGUGAGAAUUAAUGCAGUUGCAUUACUAUUGACAAUAAUAAUAAUAAUAAUAAUAAGAAUAAGAAUAAUAUUAUGAUGUUAUUAUUUGAUUAAAAUUCGUUUGUCCUUAGCGCAUCAUUCACGUUAUACGAAGUUCACUAAACAUGCUUUUAAUAUAUAUUUUUCGGAAACGGAAAUUAUUUACAUACACAUAUAACAGACGCGGUAUUCGAAUAUUUCG